rnacentral:rRNA from 1 species
CCUACGGGCGGCAGCAGUGGGGAAUAUUGCACAAUGGGGGAAACCCUGAUGGAGCGACGCCGCGUGAACGAAGCAGUAAUUCGUUAUGUAAAGCUCUAUCAGCAGGGAAGAAAGUGACGUUACAUGAGCAAGAAGGCAUGGCCAACUACGUACCAGCAGCCGCAGUAAGACGGAAGGGGGAAGGGUUAUCCGGUAUUACGGGGUGUAAAGGGAUAGUAGUGCGUAGUGCAAGUCUGGAGUGAAUGGAGUGGGUUCAACCCCCGUACGGGUCUGGAAACUGUACGGCUGGAGUGCAGGAGAGGUAAGUGGAAUUCCUAGUGUAGCGGUGAAAUGCGUAGAUAUUAGGAAGAACCCCAGUGGCGAAGGCGGCUUACUGGACUGUAACUGACGUUGAGGCGCGAAAGCGUGGGGAGCAAACAGGAUUAGAUACCCCAGUAGUC